AAUAGAAAUCCUCUGCGGACAAAAUGCAACAGUUAAACGCUGCACACCAGGAGGCAUUAAUGAAACUGGAGAGACUUGAUUCUGUUCCAGUUGAAGAGCAAGAAGAGUUCAAGCAGCUUUCAGAUGGUAUUCAGGAGCUACAACAAUCACUAAAUCAGGAUUUUCAUCAAAAAACGAUAGUGCUGCAAGAGGGAAAUUCCCAAAAGAAGUCAAAUAUUUCAGAGAAAACCAAGCGUUUGAAUGAAUUAAAAUUGUCAGUGGUUUCUUUGAAAGAAAUACAAGAGAGUUUGAAAACAAAAAUUGUGGAUUCUCCAGAGAAGUUAAAGAAUUAUAAAGAAAAAAUGAAAGAUACGGUCCAGAAGCUUAAAAAUGCCAGACAAGAAGUGGUGGAGAAAUAUGAAAUCUAUGGAGACUCAGUUGACUGCCUGCCUUCAUGUCAGUUGGAAGUGCAGUUAUAUCAAAAGAAAAUACAGGACCUUUCAGAUAAUAGGGAAAAAUUAGCCAGUAUCUUAAAGGAGGUUUGUAUUGUAUGGAAUUUUGAUGUCUUUAUUAUAUAACAGCUUACUAUAGUUCCUUGUAUUUUGCUUUCACUUUUUGUUAUGUUUUCCUAAAGAAAAACAGGGUCAUUCUACACUAUAAUAGAUGUGGCAGUGUAUGCUGUGAAAAAGACACUUUUCUUUUUAAACAUAGCAGUAGCAAGACCCAAUUUUUAACCUUCCGAUGAAAUUAAUAAUAACCCAGCACAUUGCUGUGUAUAUUUUGGAAAAUAGUACAGUAGCUCCCCCUUAUCCUCAGGGGAUUCAUUUCAGGACCCCCAGGGGAUGCCUGAAAUGGUGGAUAGUAACAAACCUUAUAUAUAUAUAUGUUUUUUCCUUUACGUACAUACCUAUGAUAAAGUUUAAUUUAAAACUUAGGCACAGUAAGAGAUUAACAA
rnacentral:sRNA from 1 species